rnacentral:rRNA from 1 species
UACGGAGGGUGCAAGCGUUAUCCGGAUUCACUGGGUUUAAAGGGAGCGUAGGUGGGCUGGUAAGUCAGUGGUGAAAUCCCCGAGCUUAACUUGGGAACUGCCAUUGAUACUAUCAGUCUUGAAUACUGUGGAGGCUAGCGGAAUAUGUCAUGUAGCGGUGAAAUGCUUAGAUAUGACAUAGAACACCAAUUGCGAAGGCAGCUGGCUACACAAAUAUUGACACUGAGGCUCGAAAGCGUGGGGAUCAAACAGG